rnacentral:SRP_RNA from 1 species
GCCAGGUGUGGUGGCUCACACCUGUAGUCCCAACUACUCGGGAGGCUGAGGCAGAAGAAUCGCUUGAACCCAGGAGGCGGAGUUUGCAGUGAACUGAGAUGAUGCCACUGCACUCUAGCCUGGGUGACAGAGCGAGACUCCGUCUCAA